rnacentral:rRNA from 1 species
AGCGGCGGACGGGUGAGUAAUGCUUAGGAAUCUGCCUAUUAGUGGGGGACAACGUUCCGAAAGGAACGCUAAUACCGCAUACGCCCUACGGGGGAAAGCAGGGGAUCUUCGGACCUUGCGCUAAUAGAUGAGCCUAAGUCGGAUUAGCUAGUUGGUGGGGUAAAGGCCUACCAAGGCGACGAUCUGUAGCGGGUCUGAGAGGAUGAUCCGCCACACUGGGACUGAGACACGGCCCAGACUCCUACGGGAGGCAGCAGUGGGGAAUAUUGGACAAUGGGCGCAAGCCUGAUCCAGCCAUGUCGCGUGUGUGAAGAAGGCCUUUUGGUUGUAAAGCACUUUAAGCGGGGAGGAGGCUCCUUUAGUUAAUACCUAAAGAGAGUGGACGUUACUCGCAGAAUAAGCACCGGCUAACUCUGUGCCAGCAGCCGCGGUAAUACAGAGGGUGCGAGCGUUAAUCGGAUUUACUGGGCGUAAAGCGUGCGUAGGCGGCUUUUUAAGUCGGAUGUGAAAUCCCUGAGCUUAACUUAGGAAUUGCAUUCGAUACUGGAGAGCUAGAGUAUGGGAGAGGAUGGUAGAAUUCCAGGUGUAGCGGUGAAAUGCGUAGAGAUCUGGAGGAAUACCGAUGGCGAAGGCAGCCAUCUGGCCUAAUACUGA